ACUUGAUCUGAAAUCAGGU
rnacentral:rRNA from 1 species